GGUUGAUCCUGCCAGUAGUCAUAUGCUUGUCUUAAAGAUUAAGCCAUGCAUGUCUAAGUAUAAGCUUUUAUAUGGUGAAACUGCGAAUGGCUCAUUACAACAGUUAUAGUUUAUUUGAUGUUCGUUUUUACAUGGAUAACCGUGCUAAUUGUAGGGCUAAUACAUGUUCGAGACCUUCGGGUGGCGUUUAUUAGACCUAAAACCAAACCGCUUGCGGUUGACGGUGAUUCAUAAUAAACUUGCGAAUCGCAGCUUUUGCGGCGAUGUAUCAUUCAAGUUUCUGACCUAUCAGCUUGACGGUAGGGUAUUGGCCUACUGAGGCAACGACGGGUAACGGGGAAUUAGGGUUCGAUUCCGGAGAGGGAGCCUGAGAAACGGCUACCACAUCUAAGGAAGGCAGCAGGC
rnacentral:rRNA from 1 species